rnacentral:rRNA from 1 species
CAUGUCUUUUUGAUUAUAAUAUAAAGUCUGACCUGCCCUAUGAUAAAUUUAAAUGGCCGCGAUAAUUUGAUCGUGCAAAGGUAGCAUAAUAAUUAGUUUCUUAAUUAGGAACUGGAAUGAAAGGUCGAACGAGAAAAUAACUGUCUCAGUUUAAUUUAAAUUAGAAUUUUAUUUUUAAGUAAAAAAGCUUAAAUAUUUUUGAAAGACGAGAAGACCCUAUAGAGUUUUAUAUUUAGUUAUAUAUUUUUUAGUUUAAGAAUUUUAUUUUAAAAUUAGUAAUUAAAUAUUUGGUUGGGGUGAUUGAAAAAUUAAAUAAACUUUUUUUAUUAUAAAAACAUUAAUAUAUGAUUAAUUGAUCCAUAGUUAAUGAUUAGAAGAUUAAAUUACCUUAGGGAUAACAGCGUAAUUUUUUUUAAGAGUUCUUAUCGAAA